rnacentral:rRNA from 1 species
AGACACAGACGACGCCGCGUGAACGAAGAAGGCCUUCUUUUCGGAAGCUCAAUAGUAUGGGAAGACAAUGACGAUACCAUAUAAAAACCCCGGCUAGCUACGUGCCAGCAGCCGCGGGAAUACGUAAGGGGAGAGCGAUGUCCGGAAUUACUGUCUUUUAAGAGCACGUAGGCGAUGCGCUAGCCCCAUGCGAAAAACCUGGGCUCAACCGACGGAGUGCAUCUGAAACUAUAUAACUUGCCGAAGGAUAGGAGAGUGGAAUUCCUGUUGAAGAGCCGAAAGGCUUAUACAUUCACAAGAAUACCCUGGGCGAGUGUGUCCCCCUGGGCUCGAAAUGACCCUG